rnacentral:sRNA from 1 species
CAAACAAGUGCAGCCAUUUCACCAGCCCAGGCUGGCUUCUGCUGUUGACUGGCUGUGGCACCUCAAGCAGCCCCUUUCCCCUCUAGCCUCAGUUUAUCACCGCAAGAGCUACCAUUCAUCUAGCACAACCUGACCAUCCUCACACUGGUCAGUUCCAACCUUCCCAGGAAUCUUCUGUGGCCAUGUUCACUCUGGUUUUACAGAACAGAGAACAGAAGCUCAGAGAAGUGAAGCAACUUGCCCAGCUAUGAGAGACAGAGCCAGGAUUUGAAACCAGAUGAGGACGCUGAGGCCCAGAGAGGGAAAGCCACUUGCCUAGGGACACACAGCGGGGAGAGGUGGAGCAGGGCCUCUAUUUCGAGACCCCUGACUCCACACCUGGUGUUUGUGCCAAGACCCCAGGCUGCCUCCCAGGUCCUCUGGGACAGCCCCUGCCUUCUACCAGG